rnacentral:rRNA from 1 species
GACGAACGCUGGCGGCGUGCUUAACACAUGCAAGUCGAACGAAGUGGCGAACGGGUGAGUAACGCGUAAUCAACCUGCCCUUAAGAGGGGGACAACAGUUGGAAAAGACUGCUAAUACCGCAUACUGACGGUGGGGAUUGUGUUGUAUUAGCGAGUUGGAGGGGUAACGGCCCACCAAGGCGAUGAUCAGUCGCCGGUCUGAGAGUAUGAACUGCCACAUUGGGACUGAGACAUGGCCCAGACUCCUACGGGAGGCAGCAGUGGGGAAUCUUCCGCAAUGGACGAAAGUCUGACGGGGCAACUCCGCGUGAGUGAUGACGGCCUUCGGGUUGUAAAGCUCUGUUAAUCGGGACGCGGUACCGGAAUAGAAAGCCACGGCUAACUACGUGCCAGCAGCCGCGGUAAUUC